AGUGAACGCUGGCGGUAGGCCUAACACAUGCAAGUCGAACGGCAGCACAGUAAGAGCUUGCUCUUACGGGUGGCGAGUGGCAGACGGGUGAGGAAUACAGCGGAAUCUACUUUUUCGUGGGGGAAAACGUAGGGAAACUUACGCUAAUACCGCAUACGACCUACGGGUGAAAGCAGGGGAUCUUCGGACCUUGCGCGAUUGAAUGAGCCGAUGUCGGAUUAGCUAGUUGGCGGGGUAAAGGCCCACCAAGGCGACGAUCCGUAGCUGGUCUGAGAGGAUGAUCAGCCACACUGGAACUGAGACACGGUCCAGACUCCUACGGGAGGCAGCAGUGGGGAAUAUUGGACAAUGGGCGCAAGCCUGAUCCAGCCAUACCGCGUGGAUGAAGAAGGCCUUCGGGUUGUAAAGCACUUUUGUUGGGAAAGAAAAGCAGCAGGUUAAUACCCCGCUGUUCUGACGGUACCCAAAGAAUAAGCACCGGCUAACUUCGUG
rnacentral:rRNA from 1 species